AUACUUAACUGGCGUAGGAGUUAUUGUGGUCACGAAGACGGUUGCCCCGUAGGUACAUUUCGGUACAUUGCCCUAUGAAUUGAGAUGGCCUCCGCAAUUAUCCCUAAUCCCAGUAAUGUGUGCACGUAAUUUUUCAUAGCAAAUGGCAACCUAAACCUAGAAUAUAUUCAUACAUUUU
rnacentral:snRNA from 1 species